rnacentral:rRNA from 1 species
CGGCGAGUGAAGCGGCAAAAGCUCAAAUUUGAAAUCUGGCACUUUCAGUGUCCGAGUUGUAAUUUGAAGAAGGUAUCUUUGGGUCUGGCUCUUGUCUAUGUUUCUUGGAACAGAACGUCACAGAGGGUGAGAAUCCCGUGCGAUGAGAUGACCCAGACCUAUGUAAAGUUCCUUCGAAGAGUCGAGUUGUUUGGGAAUGCAGCUCUAAGUGGGUGGUAAAUUCCAUCUAAAGCUAAAUAUUGGCGAGAGACCGAUAGCGAACAAGUACAGUGAUGGAAAGAUGAAAAGAACUUUGAAAAGAGAGUGAAAAAGUACGUGAAAUUGUUGAAAGGGAAGGGCUUGAGAUCAGACUUGGUAUUUUGUAUGUUACUCUUUCGGGGGUGGCCUCUACAGUUUACCGGGCCAGCAUCAGUUUGGGCGGUAGGAGAAUUGCAAAGAAAUGUGGCACUGCUUCGGUAGUGUGUUAUAGUCUUUGUCGAUACUGCCAGCCUAGACUGAGGACUGCGGCUUCGGCCUAGGAUGUUGGCAUAAUGAUCUUAAGUCGCCCGUCUUGA